rnacentral:lncRNA from 1 species
UUGGUAGUUACAGCUGAUGUAGAGCCUUCCGCUGCUAAUUUUGCGCUCCCGGAGAACGAGCAACUCUCUUUGCACGUUUGAGAGAACUUGACGAUACGCGCAGCGUAGGGAUGCGUCCGUUCCUUAACGCCGUGUCUUCCCCCAGCUCGCAGCUGAAGGGUGUUUUUGAGGGUGAGGAGAGGGGAUGCGGUAUCGGAGGUUACCGUCGCUCAGCUGAGACGUGCUGCGUCCUCGCAUGGAGAGCGGGAGGGCGGACAGCGCUCUCCUUCGCGCUGCACGCUUUCUGCCCCGUGCCUGAAGAAUUUCCUGACUCUACUGUAUGGUUUGACUUCCUUUUCCAGGCUCAUUCUUUACCGCAGGUUUGUGGCCAGCCUGUCUGGAGAAGGAGGAGUCGCCUUCGUAUCCCUCUGAACCGCCUGUUGCCGCGGCUCUGCCAUUUUGUCUGCGCACCGCUCUGCAGGGAACGGCUUUGGGUCUUCUAGCCGAUCUCGCCAUGUUCAGCAAGAAGAAGAAACGCAUCGAGAUCUCCGCUCCCUCCAACUUCGAGCACCGCGUCCACACCGGCUACGACCAGCAGGAGCAGAAGUUCACCGGGCUGCCGCGGCCAUAAAAACCCCCGUUGCCAUCCCCGCCAUCCAGCACGGCUCGCAGAAGGUAGGCGGCUUCGCGGGGGCUGGCGGGGUUGGGGGGCUCCUGCUCUCUGCCCUCCUCUUGAGCGUGGAGGCGCCUGCUCCCCGUGAUUUAUUCGGUCCUCCU